ensembl:lncRNA
CUGCCCUUGGCUGUGAACUUUCCCGCGCGGCGGGUUCUCCUUUAAGAAAAUAGCGAUCUCCAUGAAUAUUUAAUGCAGCGCGAGGGCCGUCCGGGCGGAGGGGAGUCCCGCGCCCGGGUCCCCACGGCCGCGACGGGGACCGGGGGGCCAGGGGCGCGAGCCCAGCCGGGGCGCGCGGCCUGGCGCGUUCAUUUCCAUAAGAAAGCCGGCGGCGCGGUCGGGGAGAGGAUCUGGCCCCCGGUCGCCCUCCCCUGGGGACUCGGCUUUCUGCUAGAAGCGGGCUCGGGAGCUCAGAGUCCCGAAUGUGCGCUCUGGUCUUUGAUGCUAUCGACAAAGUAUGGUUUCAGAUGUUGCCCAGGCUGAGGCCGGUUUCCUGUCUGUUUGUGGAGUGGAUGGAAGGACCGCGCCGGUUGCUGCAAAUGUCUUCUCCUUCGCUGAUCCUGGACCACUUCUACUUCUGGGGGAAACUAAAUCUGGUCACCAAUAAAGCACCCAUCCGAUCAAGCAAUUAAAUACCAAUUAUGACUACUAAUGACUGUAUACUAAUGACUGGAGUUGAGGACUCCAAACCCAGCUCCAGGUAAUCAAGCCGUUUCAAAAUUCUGCUACCUGAGACCUUUACAGCACACCACCCCAGUAAAGGAGGUAAGAAGACAGAUGAUGUUCUCAAAGAGUUCUCCAGGAGGGAGACAUGGUCGGAUUUCUUUCUUUCUGUAAAGUCGAUGUUUACUGCUGGUGGAUAACGGAGUCUUCAUUUCUGGCCGAAUGAAGUGAUGCAAAGUGUAAUUGAUGGUGGUGUUUAUUUAGUGAGGAUGCAGAAUUGGGGGGCAGGCUAGGAGGGGAGGGUGCGUUCUCUCUCCAGUUACUCUGGUAAAUGCUGAAAGCCCUGGAUGAUUUUACGAAACAAGUGUUUUAAAUCUUUACCUGGGGUCAUGGAUAUCAAGAUGGCUGGGAGUUGAAGAAAUGAGGGAUGGUGAAUUCAGGGGGCAAAGGAGAAAUAAGGAACUUGGUCCAGGUUUCAAUUUUUCUUUUUGCUCAUGGGUUCGCAUGGUUUUAGCCUGAGUGACUGUUCAAAAGAAAAGUUGAGUGAGACUCAUCUGCUUGGUGAAAAAGCUCCUGGGGCUGAGGAUGGUUCACGGAUCUCCUUCCCUCUUUAAUGACACCCUCUUCUUAUCCUGAAUGUGCUCAGUUCUGGUAUGGGAGGAUGCGGCAUGGAUGGAGGGAGGGAGGGAACGUAUUGCUGUUGGGAAUCCAUAGUGAGAGGACAGGGCAGCUGGCAGGGGCCCUGACCAGCCACCAUGAGGCAGGCAGGCUCAGCCAGGGGGCAGUUGGAAGUGUCCCUCCCCUCUGCUCCUUGCCAAGAGUUCAGCCCUUUCAGCCUGCCUGUUGGGGACCCUGUGAGAACUGGGGCAGUAAAUGUGUUAAGGACGUCUCCCCAGCUCCUUGCUGGCUCCCCGUGAAAGCCAAAGCAGCAGCAUACACCUGGUUCUGAUGUCUUUACCAGGCUGGUAUAAUGCCCAGGUUGCAUGCAGAAACCUGAGCUGCUUUUGACCAGCAAACUCCUUGGCUAAGGAGCAUAAACGGGGGGAUGGUUUCAGAGUGCCUGGCUGCCCCUUCUCUCCCUGUGAAGCACGUGACUCCACCCCAUUCUGUUCUGUUAGAGUUAAUUGCCCUGCAGUGAGAAUAUCUCACACCUCAGCCUAGGAAAACAGCAGAGAAAGGAUCCCCCACAGGUAACUGGACGGUGCAGGGUCAGCUUGGACAACUGACGGGUCCCCAAACCACAUCUGAAUGAAAUGGGCCUGUGGCAUGCCUCGCUGGCGGCUCUUUUUGCCCGGCUCAUGCUGUCAGCUGCCCCCAUGAGACCCUGUGGUUCCAAGUAGAGCUGCAACCACCCCUGGGAGUGGGCAGCUGAUCCCAGAGGCAGAUCUUAACAGGACAGCUCCACAGUCAACAACUUAUUCCCUGUUGACCCUGAGACUCCCAGGGAAGAGGGGACUAGAGGCUGGUAUACAGCUCAGCAUCCAGGCAGUGUGCGCCCUGCCUACCACAGGGCCUGGCAGUGGGGUAGCGAGCAGGCCAGGGCUGGGGGACAUGGCUCAGGAAAUCUGCUGUUCCCUUUGCUGGGGUCGGCUGCACACGAGUCCAGAACAGCAAAUAUCUGUGAAGAGGGGUGUGAGUGGCGGCUGGUGCUGGCCCUGUGUCCUGCCAGGGUCCCAGGGCUCCAUGCUGGAAGAAAGCUCCCCCAAAGGUGGCCUGGGCAGAUUCCAGAGGCCAUUUGGCCCUCCCCCCACCCCUAUCACUCCCACCUUACGUCACAGAGGCCGGCAUCAUCUAGGUCUGAGAGAACUUGCUUUCCCAGGAAACCUGGUGGUGGGGGAUUCUGGUGAGAGUUGGAGGCAAGUUUCUUCACUUUACUUAAACAUUGUUUGGAAAGUGACACAGAAAGAAGAUAGCAAACACGUUUUCGUUACUCACAUAGGGCUCCUUUGAUGUCAGAAAACUGCCCCCCUGCAUAAGCCUCCACUAAAUGGAGGUUAGCGGAAGGAAGGGGUUUACUCUGUCUCCUCCACCCGAGACAGUACAAUUGAAUUUUGUUCUUGAAAAGAAAACAGUGCUGGAAACUUUCCCCAGCCAGACCCACCUAAGUUUCAUCAAGGUUUCUUGUCAGCCACUCUAACCCACCCCCAUCUCCUUUUCCUUUCUUGUUUGUAUCUAAAAGUUGCAUUUGAGGAGGGUUUAUACAAUGUUGUUCAUGUCAGCAAGCCUCCCCUUCCUCUCCUCUCUCACCCAUCCCCCUGGAUGGAAUCUAAGCUGGAAACCACACACAGAAAAGAUUCUCUCUAAAAAUUUCUGCUAUUCUUCCCAACUAGAGGAGUUGACAAGACGUAGACACAUUAAGUUGCAGAAAAUACAGUGGACUGAUCAGCCAGAAUGCAUCUCAUUUGCACUUGUAUGUAGCUAGGGGUAGGGGCCAGAGUCACUCACUGCCUCCAGCCCUCUCGCUAUGCUGGGCUGACUGGCUGGAAUUUCCGAGCAGGCCCCACUGCAGGGGCCAUUCGUGGGGUCGCAGCCCCAGCCCAGCCUAGGCCAGUGGGAGGAGGUGAGGGUGGUUUGAGGCAUCUGGAGGCCUAGCUUGAGGGCUGCAGCCAACUUUGGCAGAUCCUCUGCUCUGGGCAGCUUGGGGGCUGGGAGACCUGGAAAGGUAGGUGCUGGCCACUGGGUGAUCAGGUUAGCAACCAUUCCCAGUAAAGAGAUAGCCACUGGCCACAUAUCCACAUAUUACAUUCCCUCCCACCUCUCUCCCAAGGUUCUGCCUUCAUCACCCACUUUGUCCUCAUCCACCCACGGGUGGAGGGACAGCUCUGCCCAUGCUGGGUUCUUCCACCUGCUUCUGUGUCCUGAACUGGGACCCUGAGCUUUUUGCUCUCUUCCUGCCUGUCUCCUUCUCAGCCCACGCGCCGAGUUCCCAGGGAAGCCAGUGGGGACAGUUAGGGUGAAGUCACAGAACUUUGAGGUAUUCCCACUCCCCAGCCAGCAACCCACCCACUUUCCAGUGCUGCCUCGAACUGUUCCAGACCUGGGACUAGGGCACAACGUUGG